CCUCGCCGGCCCGGCGCGCCCUCCCUUGGCCGGCGGCGGUUGUUGUUCGGCGGCGGCGGUCGCAGCUCGGGUCCCUCUCGGGCGCCCCCGCCGCCGUCCGCGCGCGGCCAUGGAGCUGGAGGUGCCGGACGAGGCGGAGAGCGCUGAGGCGGGGGCCGUGCCCUCGGAGGCGGCGUGGGCGGCAGAGAGCGGGGCGGCGGCAGGUUUGGCUCAGAAGAAGGCCCCAACAGAGGUUCUGUCCAUGACGGCACAGCCGGGCCCUGGCCAUGGGAAGAAGUUGGGCCAUCGAGGUGUGGACGCAUCCGGCGAAACCACCUACAAGAAGACCACCUCCUCCACCCUGAAGGGUGCCAUCCAGCUGGGCAUCGGCUACACCGUGGGCCACCUGAGCUCCAAGCCCGAACGCGACGUGCUCAUGCAGGACUUCUACGUGGUGGAGAGCAUCUUCUUCCCCAGCGAAGGCAGCAACCUCACCCCCGCCCACCACUUCCAGGACUUCCGCUUCAAGACCUAUGCACCUGUCGCCUUCCGCUACUUCCGGGAGCUCUUCGGGAUCCGGCCAGAUGAUUACUUGUACUCCCUGUGCAAUGAGCCGCUGAUCGAGCUGUCCAACCCGGGCGCCAGUGGCUCCCUCUUCUACGUCACCAGCGACGACGAGUUCAUCAUCAAGACUGUCAUGCACAAGGAGGCCGAGUUCCUGCAGAAGCUGCUCCCUGGCUACUACAUGAACCUCAACCAGAACCCGCGGACGCUGCUGCCCAAGUUCUAUGGGCUGUACUGCGUGCAGUCGGGGGGCAAGAACAUCCGCGUCGUGGUCAUGAACAACAUCCUGCCCCGCGUGGUCAAGAUGCACCUCAAGUUCGACCUCAAGGGCUCCACCUACAAGCGGCGCGCCAGCAAGAAGGAGAAGGAGAAGAGCUUCCCCACCUACAAGGACCUGGACUUCAUGCAGGACAUGCCCGAGGGGCUCCUGCUGGACGCUGACACCUUCAGCGCCCUGGUCAAGACGCUGCAGCGGGACUGCCUGGUCCUGGAAAGUUUCAAGAUCAUGGACUACAGCCUGCUGCUGGGCGUGCACAACAUCGACCAGCACGAGCGCGAGCGGCAGGCGCAGGGCGCCCAGAGCACCUCAGAUGAGAAGCGGCCUGUGGGCCAGAAGGCGCUGUACUCCACGGCCAUGGAGUCCAUCCAGGGUGGCGCCGCGCGCGGGGAGGCCAUCGAAUCGGAUGACACGAUGGGCGGGAUCCCCGCUGUGAACGGCCGCGGGGAGCGGCUGCUGCUGCACAUUGGCAUCAUCGACAUCCUGCAGUCCUACAGGUUCAUCAAGAAACUGGAGCACACCUGGAAGGCCCUCGUCCACGAUGGGGACACGGUGUCCGUCCACCGCCCCAGCUUCUAUGCCGAGCGCUUUUUCAAGUUCAUGAGCAACACGGUCUUUCGGAAGAACUCCUCCCUGAAGUCCUCGCCCUCCAAGAAGGGGCGCGGCGGAGCCUUGCUAGCUGUGAAACCGCUGGGGCCCACCGCUGCCUUCUCGGCCAGCCAGAUCCCUAGCGAGCGGGAGGAGGCCCAGUACGACCUGCGGGGGGCCCGCAGCUACCCCACGCUGGAGGACGAAGGCCGGCCCGACCUCCUGCCCUGCACGCCACCUUCUUUCGAAGAAGCCACUACAGCCUCCAUUGCCACGACUCUGUCAUCCACAUCCCUCUCCAUUCCUGAGCGGUCCCCCUCGGAGACGUCGGAGCAGCCGCGGUACAGGCGGCGCACACAGUCCUCCGGACAGGAUGGCAGGCCGCAGGAGGAGCCGCCCGCGGAAGAGGAUCUGCAGCAGAUUACAGUGCAGGUGGAGCCUGCGUGCAGCGUGGAGAUCGUGGUCCCCAAAGAGGAGGACGCAGGGGUGGAGGCUUCCCCGGCCGGUGCCUCUGCUGCUGUUGAAGUAGAAACUGCCAGCCAGGCCUCAGACGAGGAGGGUGCACCUGCCAGCCAGGCCUCGGACGAGGAGGACGCGCCCGCCACCGACAUCUACUUUUUCACGGAUGGGAGGUACUGGAUUUACUCUCCCCGCCAUCGCCGACUGCGGGCCGUGACGCUGAGCGCCUCGGGGACUGCCCUGCCUUGACUGAACUAACUGCUUUCUGCCGCCCGCCGCGCCCCGCCCCGCCAAGCUGAGCUGAGGCCCCAGGCCCGUCCAGCCCACCGAUGAGAGGAGCUGGGUGUACUCCCCGCUCCACUAUAGCGCCCAGGCCCCCCCGGCCUCCGACGGCGAGAGCGACACAUAAUUUCUAUGCAGCCCCCGACCCAGAGCCGAGCUCCACUUCUGCUCCGGCUGCCCCCGAAGGCGCUGCCCACCCCGCUGAGGCCCAGAGCUCGGGAGAUGCCCGCCUCGCCGCCCCACCGGACCUGGUCCUCCCCCUGCACGGAUGCCGACGGCCGGGCCCCUCCCCGACAAGCCUCCCAGGGCCCCGGCACCCCCGUCGGCAGCCUGUCCCUGUGAGACCCACCCUCCCGAGCGGCAAAUCGCAUUUGAGUCCUUACUCGGCACAGAGACGGAAGCACAUGUGUGCUGUUUUAGGAAAAGAACAAAAAAGACACAAACAAACCAACCAGAGGGAGAAGAGCCCCUGCCCACUGCACUCUUUGGUUCUCUGCUGUGCCUGCCUGUGUCCUGAGGAGGAAGCCAGGCUGUUCCCAGUGGCCUCUGGGGACCUGAGCCCCGGGGGCCCCAUCGGCCUGCAGAGGGGACGGCUGGGGUCCCGAGCCACUCUGCCUCCAUCCAUGUGGGAAGCGAACCCUCCCGCCCUCAGCUUGGGUUUGGGGGCCUCAGUGCAGGACAUCUGGCCUGAACAUCGACUGUGGGGACAGCCCUCGCCCUGCCAAGCACUGCGGCCACUCAGCAGCUAUGUUCCCUCCGCGGUGGGGCCCUGACGCCCACCUCCCCGGUGCCCCUCGAGCAAAAACCUCCGGCGCCUCCAAUCCAGACCCACCACAGCUGGAGGGCCAGGCCUCCUCUCCCCUAGGCCGCCACCCACGCUGGCGGAGCUCAGGGCUGGGGACUUGUCCUUCUCUUCUGACGUAGGCCACUCAGCAACUGGCAUGGAGGGCCCAGGCAACGGAGACGUUUUCUCCCUGGCAGGACAGAGCGGGAGGCCGGGCCUUGGGCCACAGGAGACCAGCUCAGGGCGGAAGGUCAGGCUCCCCGCCCCCUCCACCUGGAGACACGGCCUAGGGGGCCAGGCCCGGCUCCACAGGAGUCUCCUUCAGGACUGGUGUGGAUGUCCGCCGCCUCUUUCUUCUUUAAGUGAUGUGAUGUUUCCGAGGAGGGGAGAGAAGACUUUGUUUCCGACUCAUCACCCUCCAAGAGGGCAGCGCUCCCAGUGGCGGGACUCAGCCCAGACUGCCCUGGGGCAGCUUCCUGGGCCCGCUGCGCUCAGAGGGUGCUGGUUGGAGGCCAGAGCUCGGCAGAGUCACCCACCCUGCCCUUCCCCAGGACCCCUGAGAGGGGCUUAUUGGUGAUGGCUGUGGGGAUCCCCCACUCCCAAGAUGUGCCCAGGAUGGGAGGAGCUGGAGUGGAAGCUGCACCUUUGGGAAGAAUUCCUCUCCAGCCCUGGCAGAGCCUGGUGUGGGGUCUGAGACGGCCGGAGAACCUCCCAGGCAGGGCUCUGUGUUUUGUCUGUUACAACCUCCGUACGACGCCAUGCCACCCGCUGUUCACGUCCCGUCGGCCUCCUGCACAGCCCACACGCUGCGCCUGGAAGGCCUCUGCUGUGGAGAAGCCGGACCCAUCCCUGAGGUCCCCAGCGAGGACACACACUCCACGAGAGCAGCCCCUCCACUCUGCCCAGGAGAGGGGCCGACCCUCCUCGGGAACCGGCCACCCACGUGGCUCCCAGCAUCCAUCAGGACAAGCCCACGUGGGGUCCUCCCUGCGUGCUCAGAGGGUCUGUCCAGCCCCGGGAAGCGACCUUGGCCUCAGUUCACAGCCUGGUGCUCAUCUGCUGGCACCGGGCAUCCACCCAUCAGCCCCCGUCCUGUCCCUCUGAAGGACACCCAGCAGGCACCCCCCGGGGAGGCAGGGGCAGAGGUCAGAAGGGGUGUCUGGGACCUGGAUGGCCAGCAGGGACAGGGGCAUUGUCGUCAUCUCAAAGGCCCAACCCCCAGAGGCCACACCAAUCCUCCCAGGGAGUCCUCGAGUCGCCCUGCCCAGAGUCCUGGCACCAGGGACGCCAAGAGCCUGUGGGGUGACUCGGAGCAGCAGGUGUGGCCCCAGGCAGGCGGCACCGCGUCCAGGGCAGCCUCCCUCCGCUGAGUGACACGGGACACCAGUGCCCGGCCGACGCUCCCUUGCAGGAGAAAUGUGCAAACCUCUGUGGAUACCAUUUCAUUUCCAUUCUUGUCUCCAAGGCCCCUUUGGAGAUAUACUUGGUGUUGGUUGUGUUUUUUGGUUCCUUUUCAGAGAACUGUAAACCGAGGCUGACGUGCUCCACUGACUGUGCCGAGGGGCGGGGGCAGGAGGAUGGCAAGACCUAUUUAUAAUAUUUAGCGAACUCGGUCUCCCUCAGAUCCCCCGCGAGGGAGGCCGCUGGACCCACCCCGCUGUCCCCCACGAUAGAAGUCUGUAAAUACCUUGGUGACCAAUGCCCACUUCCCCUCCUGGGUCACCUCUGAUGGCUGCUGUCCACUGAGAACGUGGGCAGUGUCCAAAUUCCUGUACUGUAAAGACUAAAAGGCGUUUGCUCUGAGACUGACAAGGCGGAAACUUCCAUGUGUCUCCUGCCAGGCUCUGUCCCCCUACGCCAUCCCGACACGUCCCCGUUCCCCCGAAACCUGGCUCAGUGCAAUACUCCCAUUGCCAUGGGGUCCUUCACCAUGGUACUGUCUCCACAGCCCUCAGUCCCCACCCCAGGAGAGGCGCCUGCCACCUCCUCCUCGUCUCUGGUGGUUCAAUCACUCCGCCUGUCCCCAACCCAGUCCCAUUUUUAUGGCCGAACUGAUUCUGAAACAAAAUGAAACUGCAAACCUCGUGUGUCUUAACUCCCCCCAGGGAUGCCACUCCAUUCCUCCGCCCCGUGGUCUGGUGCGUGACAAUCCAAAGCGCUGAGCCUCGUGGCCGAGACGAGGGUGCUGUGUCCCUCAAACCCAGAGUGGUGGGCGCCUCUGAAACCAUACAGCCACUCCUGGCCCCAAACACUGGUUUGCAUCCCAGGCUCCUCGCCCACCUACCCCCGCCACACCCCGUCUUUUUAGAGAUCUCUCUAAUAAAUCGGGUAAUAAGCA